rnacentral:tRNA from 1 species
ACUUUCUUAGUAUAAUAAUACUAAUGAUUUCCAAUCAUAAGAUCUUAGUUAAACCCUAAGAGAAAGUA